CAGCAACAUUUUUAGAAAAGCGCAAGCAACUGCGACCCCUUCCGUACGCCAUUUGGGCUCACCGAGCAUCUGGCCUUCAAGGGAGAAACGGCCGGCAGUGUAGAAACGGAAUGGCGUCAGUUUCAAAUCCUGUCCCACACUAAGAACCCCAGCUAGUCUGCACUGAACUCGCACGCUGCAAAUGCGUGCGGCGCCGGGAAGGAUGGAGCGAUGUAGCAGAACACGCUCCGCUUCCCGCGGAGGGAGUGAACCCGGCAAGGGAACGGCGGCGCGUGGCAGAAUAGAGGCCAAUCGAAAGUGCAGAUGGAUUAUCCAGAUUCAUUGCAGCCAAAUCCUUGCCCAUCAUUGUCUCGAGAAACAGUCUGCUGGUCGGGGGUUCCAUUGAGAUCACGAUGUCCUCAUCUCCUGAGAAGGGGUUAAGGAAGAAGAUGCCUCUGUCCAUGCUGAGCACAAUCACAACGUAAAAAACAACAAUGAGAAAUUCCAGAUCCUGCUUUGUAUGGUAGAAAAAUGGACUGAUGAAUAAACAGACAAACAGUG